UUUUGCAAUUGGAUUGAGAACAACGUACAAACCUUAUCGAUAAACAAUUGGAGGGCAAGUCUGGUGCCAGCAGCCGCGGUAAUUCCAGCUCCAAUAGCGUAUAUUAACGUUGUUGCAGUUAAAAAGCUCGUAGUUGAAAUGAAGGGUAGUUGUGUAAUGAAUACAUUCGUGUAUUUUGUUAUUCUACUACCCUCCUUCUAAAUUCGAUAUAUGAGUAUUAAUUUACUUGUAUAUGGUUUUAGACGUUUACUGUGAGAAAAUUAGAGUGUUCAAAGCAGGCAUUUGCUUGAAUAUAUUAGCAUGGAAUAAUCAUGUAUGAUUUUCAUGAUGUAUUUGAUUGGUUUGGUUCAUGAGAAUAAGAUUAAAAGGGACAGUUGGGGGUAUUCAUAUUCAAUAGUCAGAGGUGAAAUUCUCGGAUUUAUGGAAGAUGAACAAGUGCGAAAGCAA
rnacentral:rRNA from 1 species